rnacentral:rRNA from 1 species
AGCGAACGCUGGCGGCAGGCCUAACACAUGCAAGUCGAACGGAUCCUUCGGGAUUAGUGGCGGACGGGUGAGUAACACGUGGGAACGUGCCCUUUGGUUCGGAACAACUCAGGGAAACUUGAGCUAAUACCGGAUGUGCCCUUCGGGGGAAAGAUUUAUCGCCAUUGGAGCGGCCCGCGUCUGAUUAGCUAGUUGGUGGGGUAACGGCCCACCAAGGCGACGAUCAGUAGCUGGUCUGAGAGGAUGAUCAGCCACACUGGGACUGAGACAUGGCCCAGACUCCUACGGGAGGCAGCAGUGGGGAAUCUUGCGCAAUGGGCGAAAGCCUGACGCAGCCAUGCCGCGUGAAUGAUGAAGGUCUUAGGAUUGUAAAAUUCUUUCAGCGGGGACGAUAAUGACGGUACCCGCAGAAGAAGCUCCGGCUAACUUCGU